AGAGUGAACGCUGGCGGCAGGCCUAACACAUGCAAGUCGAACGGCAGCACAGCAGUAGCAAUACUGUGGGUGGCGAGUGGCGGAUGGGUGAGGAAUACAUCGGAAUCUACCUUGUCGUGGGGGGAUAACGUAGGGAAACUUACGCUAAUACCGCAUACGAACUAUGGUUGAAAGCGGCGGACCGCAAGGCGUCGCGCGAUUGGAUGAGCCGAUGUCCGAUUAGCUAGUUGGCGGGGUAAAGGCCCACCAAGGCGACGAUCGGUAGCUGGUCUGAGAGGAUGAUCAGCCACACUGGAACUGAGACACGGUCCAGACUCCUACGGGAGGCAGCAGUGGGGAAUAUUGGACAAUGGGGGCAACCCUGAUCCAGCCAUGCCGCGUGUGUGAAGAAGGCCUUGGUUGUAAGACACUUUGUUGGUAAGAAAGACACUGGUAAUACUUGUGUCGAUGACGGUAACCAAACGAAAUAAGACGACCGACGUAACUUCGUCG
rnacentral:rRNA from 1 species